rnacentral:rRNA from 1 species
GAUCAUGGCUCAGAUUGAACGCUGGCGGCAUGCCUUACACAUGCAAGUCGAACGGUAACAGGUCUUCGGAUGCUGACGAGUGGCGAACGGGUGAGUAAUACAUCGGAACGUGCCCGAUCGUGGGGGAUAACGAGGACGAAAGUCUUUGACUAAUACCGCAUACGAUCUACGGAUAGAAAGGCGGGGGAUCUUCGGACCUCGCGCGGACGGAGCGGCCGAGUGGCAGUAGUUAGGUAGUUGGGUGGGAAUAAAACG